rnacentral:rRNA from 1 species
CCUACGGGAGGCAGCAGUGGGGAAUUUUGGACAAUGGGGGCAGCCCUGAUCCAGCAAUGCCGCGUGAGUGAAGAAGGCCUUCGGGUUGUAAAGCUCUUUUGUCAGGGAAGAAACGGCCUGUUCUAAUACAGUGGGCUAAUGACGGUACCUGAAGAAUAAGCACCGGCUAACUACGUGCCAGCAGCCGCGGUAAUACGUAGGGUGCAAGCGUUAAUCGGAAUUACUGGGCGUAAAGCGUGCGCAGGCGGUUUUGUAAGUUUGUCGUGAAAUCCCCGGGCUCAACCUGGGAAUGGCGAUGAAGACUGCAAGGCUAGAGUUUGGCAGAGGGGGGUAGAAUUCCACGUGUAGCAGUGAAAUGCGUAGAUAUGUGGAGGAACACCGAUGGCGAAGGCAGCCCCCUGGGUCAAAACUGACGCUCAUGCACGAAAGCGUGGGGAGCAAACAGGAUUAGAUACCCCUGGUAGUCCACGCCCUAAACGAUGUCUACUAGUUGUCGGGUCUUAAAUUGACUUGUACGUACAGCUACGCGUGAGUAGACGCCGCGGGAGGUACGGUCGCGAGAAGUUAAAACGUUAAAAGGUAAAGUUAGUACGGACGUGAGACGUGCCGAACGGACGACGACGAGGGAGGUAGG